CUGCCUUCUCCAAAUGGGUCUUUGUCAACAAUUAUGACUGCAGCAAGGGAAAAGCCCAUUUCUAGUUUGGGCCUAGAAUAUUCUAUAACCUUCUCAAAUGAUUGCACUAAGGAGCAGACUUCUAAGCACGAGAACUGUCUAGGAAAGGACGAGGACCAAAUUACCAAGCCUUUGGAUCUAAUCCAUGUGGCAUCCCAUCUGUGGGCCCCUGGGAGAUUCAAAGUCGGCCGGUGCUGGAGGCCAAUCAUAUUUAUACCAUUUCCAUAUGGCACCUUUUGAUUGAGACUUGGCAAGCACUCAGACUGGAAGAAGACAGAGAGCAAGACACUGGAACAAGCAGCAGGAGUGGAGCCUGGGACGCAAGGUCAGCACAUAGCAAGCCCUUGCUUUGGAGCAGAGGCGGCCGGUUUCCAGGGCAGUGAGUAUUUGAAGCGGUAGUUGUGACCUUCAGCUUCACUGGGGCAAGCAUCACCUGUAAGCAACCAGGCAUUGGGUGUGAUUAAUUAAUACGUUUCUUUAGCAUAUGGGGUGAGGGAGGGACAGGGGCUAAUUUGAGCAGUCAGGGACAAGGAGUCAACAUCAGUGUGGAGUGGUAAUGUUUGUACACCAAGCUGGUAGAUAGACAUCCUAGUUACAUAUGAUUCUGUUGGUGUUGCCUACAGAGGAGAAAAAAGUGAUCAAGUGGUUGUGGAUUUUAUGUUUGCUUAUCUGUUUUUUUAAAAAAGGCUAAUAAUGAAUUUUAUCAAGAUGUUGGAUUCCUGCAUGUUAGACAUUGUAGUGGGUUGAAUUUUGAUCCCCAAAAAGAUAUGUCCUAAGUCUUAACCUCACAGUAGCUGUGAAUGUGACCUUAUAUAGAGCCUUUGCAGAUGUGUUAAGUUAAGCAUCUCCAGAUGAGCUCAUUCUGGAUUCAGUGUGGGCCCUAAAUCCAAUGACUGGUGGUAUAAGAGAAAGGAGAGAGAUACAGACCCAGAGACACACAGAGGGGAAGGCCAUGAGAAGACGAGGCAGCUUUGGAGUUACGCAACCACAGUCAUGGGAUGCCAGAAGCCCUGGAGGAGUCAAGGAAGGAUGCUCCCCUAGAACCCUGGAAGGGACGGUGGCCCUGGUGACACUUUCUGGACAUCUGGUCUCCAAAACUGAGUGAGAAUAAAUUUCUGUUGUUUUAAGCCACCCGAUUUAUGAUCAUCUGUUCUGGCAGUCCUAGGAAUGUAAUACAAGCAUAUUUAGUGUUUGCUGAUAUAAAAGUGA